rnacentral:tRNA from 1 species
GCGGGUGUAGUUCAAUGGUAGAACUUCAGCUUCCCAAGCUGAUAACGUGGGUUCGAUCCCCAUCACCCGCUCCA